UACGUAGGGUGCGAGCGUUGUCCGGAAUUAUUGGGCGUAAAGAGCUCGUAGGCGGCUUGUCGCGUCGGUUGUGAAAGCCCGGGGCUUAACUCCGGGUCUGCAGUCGAUACGGGCAGGCUAGAGUGUGGUAGGGGAGAUCGGAAUUCCUGGUGUAGCGGUGAAAUGCGCAGAUAUCAGGAGGAACACCGGUGGCGAAGGCGGGUCUCUGGGCCGAUACUGACGCUGAGGAGCGAAAGCGUGGGGAGCGAACAGG
rnacentral:rRNA from 1 species